UUUCCAGUUGAUAAUUCUGAAACGCUCGUGAUUCGGGUCAAAAAUUGAUACCAAAAACUUUAAUUCGGCCUUGAGCCCCGACACGGACAUCUUCCACUCAUCUCCAGCAGGCCGCAGGGGAAGCGGGCGAGCAACUAGCCUACUAGCUAACAACUAGAACCGCUCUGAGUAUACCCAGGGAAGGUUCUUGAUCCACUGCAUUCCUGACAAGGAAAAAUGUGCUUACAGAAGAUGAAUGAAUGAAUGAACGAUUGAAUAAGUGAAAGCAAGUCUACAGCUACCCAAUGACACAACAACAACAACAACAACAACAACAGCAACGACAAAAACAACAGGAAAAAAAGCAAAGCAGAGCCAGGUUCCCCGUGUAUCCCAGGCAGCAUCGGGCACAAGGCAGGGUACACCCUGGACAGACAGGGUGCCAGUCCAUUGCAGGGCUGCCCGCAUCAAAUUCAAGGCCUUGAUGCUCGCCUACAAGAACUUGUCUGGAACAGCACCCUCCUACCUCAACUCUCAACUGAAGGUUUACGUUCUCUCACGCAAUCUGCGAUCAGUCAACGACCGGUGCUUAAUAGUGCCUACUCAGCAUGGCUCAAGUUCCCUUUCAAGAACAUUCACGCUAACUGUUCCUCAGUGGUGGAAUGAACUUCCAACCUCAAUCCCGACCGCAGAAUCUCUCACAAUCUUCAAAAAACAUUAAAGACCCACCUCUUCCGUGAACACCUAUCCAACCCAUAAAAAAAUUUAAAUUAAAUAAAAUUUAAAUAAUAAUAAUAAUAAUAAUUUACACUGGCACUUUCACCUCUACUCUUUGCUUCUUUUGGAACUCAAUUAAUGGAUAUUGUAUGGUAACACUACUUGUAUUAUUCUCUGCUUGAUAUAUCGCUUUGCUUGUAUUUUCACAUUUGUAAGUCACUUUGGAUAAAAGCGUCUGCUAAAUGAAUAAAUGUAAAUGUAAAUGUAACAUUGAGAGCACAGCAGGGGAAGUGGUGCAGUAUUUGUGCUGUCAGCAUCUGUGCUCCUUGAAUGUGUUUCUAUUGCAAUAACUAAAAUGUGGGCAAAAUUGGGUGGUUAGUAAUUGUAUAUUUGUGUAUAAGUCAUAUUUUUAUUCAUUAGUCCUGUUACUUUUUUGGCUGAAGGUUUGUUUAAAUGGUGGUUUUGAUGCCUUUCUAAAAAUAGUGGACGAUUAAGUCUACUGACAAAAGCCCUCAGUUUGUCAUUGUCCCCCUCGGCUGCUCUGACUACAUUUGGGAAAUAAUCGUCAUUGCUGACCGGGUCUUGGAAUGCAAGUUUUUCCACAAAGUACGUUGGAUUCUGCCACAACAUUAUCAGGACAUCAACAUUUCCAUAUUGAAUUUGACAGCUGGAGAUGCUAUGUGAGAGGUCUUAAAAACAAAACCUUCCAAAAGUACUGGGGUCCAGACCUCUGUGUCCUCAUAGCUAGUUAUGGCCAUGACUCUACUGAUGGAAACAUUCUUGAAAGAUGGAGUCAAAGCCACACAAUGGCACUUAAAACAGAAAUGUCAUGCAGAAGGGAGUAAAAUCAGUGAGCUUAUGUAUGUUUGUCUCAUUCUGCUUAGCAAGAAAUGCAAAAGGUGUGCAAUAAGCAGCCCUGCUUACAUUAAAAUGUC